rnacentral:rRNA from 1 species
GGUGAGUAACACGUGGGUAACCUGCCUGUAAGACUGGGAUAACUCCGGGAAACCGGAGCUAAUACCGGAUAGUUCCUUGAACCGCAUGGUUCAAGGAUGAAAGACGGUUUCGGCUGUCACUUACAGAUGGACCCGCGGCGCAUUAGCUAGUUGGUGAGGUAACGGCUCACCAAGGCGACGAUGCGUAGCCGACCUGAGAGGGUGAUCGGCCACACUGGGACUGAGACACGGCCCAGACUCCUACGGGAGGCAGCAGUAGGGAAUCUUCCGCAAUGGACGAAAGUCUGACGGAGCAACGCCGCGUGAGUGAUGAAGGUUUUCGGAUCGUAAAGCUCUGUUGUUAGGGAAGAACAAGUGCAAGAGUAACUGCUUGCACCUUGACGGUACCUAACCAGAAAGCCACGGCUAACUACGUGCCAGCAGCCGCGGUAAUACGUAGGUGGCAA